AUUGAACGCUGGCGGCAGGCCUAACACAUGCAAGUCGAACGGUAACAUUUCUAGCUUGCUAGAAGAUGACGAGUGGCGGACGGGUGAGUAAUGCUUGGGAACUUGCCUUUGCGAGGGGGAUAACAGUUGGAAACGACUGCUAAUACCGCAUAAUGUCUUCGGACCAAACGGGGCUUCGGCUCCGGCGCAAAGAGAGGCCCAAGUGAGAUUAGCUAGUUGGUAAGGUAACGGCUUACCAAGGCGACGAUCUCUAGCUGUUCUGAGAGGAAGAUCAGCCACACUGGGACUGAGACACGGCCCAGACUCCUACGGGAGGCAGCAGUGGGGAAUAUUGCACAAUGGGGGAAACCCUGAUGCAGCCAUGCCGCGUGUGUGAAGAAGGCCUUCGGGUUGUAAAGCACUUUCAGUUGUGAGGAAAAGUUAGUAGUUAAUACCUGCUAGCCGUGACGUUAACAACAGAAGAAGCACCGGCUAACUCCGUGCCAGCAGCCGCGGUAAUACGGAGGGUGCGAGCGUUAAUCGGAAUUACUGGGCGUAAAGCGCACGCAGGCGGUUUGUUAAGCUAGAUGUGAAAGCCCCGGGCUCAACCUGGGAUGGUCAUUUAGAACUGGCAGACUAGAGUCUUGGAGAGGGCGAGUGGAAUUCCAGGUGUAGCGGUGAAAUGCGUAAAUAUCUGGAGGAACAUCAGUGGCGAAGGCGACUCCCUGGC
rnacentral:rRNA from 1 species